rnacentral:rRNA from 2 species
CUGAUCGGCCACAAUGGGACUGAGACACGGCCCAUACUCCUACGGGAGGCAGCAGUAGGGAAUCUUCCACAAUGGGCGCAAGCCUGAUGGAGCAACACCGCGUGAGUGAAGAAGGGUUUCGGCUCGUAAAGCUCUGUUGUUAAAGAAGAACACGUAUGAGAGUAACUGUUCAUACGUUGACGGUAUUUAACCAGAAAGUCACGGCUAACUACGUGCCAGCAGCCGCGGUAAUACGUAGGUGGCAAGCGUUAUCCGGAUUUAUUGGGCGUAAAGAGAGUGCAGGCGGUUUUCUAAGUCUGAUGUGAAAGCCUUCGGCUUAACCGGAGAAGUGCAUCGGAAACUGGAUAACUUGAGUGCAGAAGAGGGUAGUGGAACUCCAUGUGUAGCGGUGGAAUGCGUAGAUAUAUGGAAGAACACCAGUGGCGAAGGCGGCUACCUGGUCUGCAACUGACGCUGAGACUCGAAAGCAUGGGUAGCGAACAGGAUUAGAUACCCUGGUAGUCCAUGCCGUAAACGAUGAGUGCUAGGUGUUGGAGGGUUUCCGCCCUUCAGUGCCGGAGCUAACGCAUUAAGCACUCCGCCUGGGGAGUACGACCGCAAGGUUGAAACUCAAAGGAAUUGACGGGGGCCCGCACAAGCGGUGGAGCAUGUGGUUUAAUUCGAAGCUACGCGAAGAACCUUACCAGGUCUUGACAUCUUGCGCCAACCCUAGAGAUAGGGCGUUUCCUUCGGGAACGCAAUGACAGGUGGUGCAUGGUCGUCGUCAGCUCGUGUCGUGAGAUGUUGGGUUAAGUCCCGCAACGAGCGCAACCCUUGUUACUAGUUGCCAGCAUUAAGUUGGGCACUCUAGUGAGACUGCCGGUGACAAACCGGAGGAAGGUGGGGACGACGUCAGAUCAUCAUGCCCCUUAUGACCUGGGCUACACACGUGCUACAAUGGACGGUACAACGAGUCGCGAACUCGCGAGGGCAAGCAAAUCUCUUAAAACCGUUCUCAGUUCGGACUGCAGGCUGCAACUCGCCUGCACGAAGUCGGAAUCGCUAGUAAUCGCGGAUCAGCAUGCCGCGGUGAAUACGUUCCCGGGCCUUGUACACACCGCCCGUCACACCAUGAGAGUUUGUAACACCCAAAGUCGGUGGGGU